UUCCGAUAAAAAAAAAUUUGUGGGUAUUUUGCAAUUUGCAUUAUCCUCUCUCUGUUUUUCUCUUUAACCUUUUUCUUCUUUUUCGUCUCUUAUAUCUUUAUUCUCUGCUCUAGAACUCCUAAUCAGAUCAAAUAUUACAUUUUCCCCCAACACUUUUCCAGAUUUUCUCUCUUUCCAAACACCUCUUUGCCUUCACGUCUCACCUCAUUGCAAGCUGAUUCCUUUUCCUCUCCUUUUCUCUUUAGCUACUUUCACUACGCAAAGCUAAAAAUCUUCUCCAUCUUUGAUUUAGAUUACUAUUAUUGAAGCUUCAAAAGAGGUGUAUAAGUGAAAAUUCCUUCGAUGGUAGAAUCCCAGUUAUUGGGAGAUUGAAUGGGAUUUAGAGGGUCGAAGUUAAUGUUCAGCUAUGGGGUGGAGGGAAAAGUAAAGGGUAUUUUUGGAUGAAAGGAUUUGGCUUUGGAAAUGGAUGAAUUUGUUCUUAACAUUUGUUAAACUGGGUUUUUGAUUUUCUUUUUGGAUCCCUUGUUUUUUGUGGGGAUUUAGGGGUUUUUGGCCUUUUGGUUUAUUAAAGUGUAGUUUUGCUUAUGUCAAGAACCGAUAGGAUGGCUUCCGAUCUUAUUAGCAGAACUGGCCCUGUGGAAAGAGACAUUGGACAGGCAAUUACUGCUUUGAAGAAAGGGGCUUGCCUGCUGAAGUAUGGAAGAAGAGGGAAGCCAAAAUUUUGCCCCUUCCGCCUUUCAAAUGAUGAGUCUGUUUUAAUAUGGUUCUCGGGGAAAGAGGAGAAACAUCUUAAACUAAGUCACGUGUCUAGAAUCAUAUCCGGCCAGCGCACUCCUAUCUUUCAAAGAUAUCCUCGGCCUGAGAAAGAGUAUCAGUCAUUUUCACUUGUAUAUAAUAACAGAUCGCUGGAUUUGAUAUGCAAGGACAAGGAUGAAGCUGAAGUCUGGUUUAGUGGUUUAAAAGCAUUAAUCUCCCGUAGCCACCAAAGAAAAUGGAGAACUGAAUCAAGAAGUGAUGGCAUUCCUUCUGAAGCAAAUAGUCCUAAAACAUACACACAAAGUUCGCCUUUACAUUCCCCAUUCGGUAGUAAUGAUAGCUUGCAGAAGGAUGGUGAUCACCUUCGCCUUCAUAGUCCAUAUGAUAGUCCUCCAAAGAAUGCUUUGGGUAAGGCAUUUUCAGAUGUAAUAUUAUAUGCUGUUCCUCCCAAGGGUUACUUUCCUCCAGAUUCCGCUAGUGGUUCAGUUCAUUCUUUGUCUUCAGGAGGAUCAGAUAGUGUACAUGGCCACAUGAAGACAAUGGCAAUGGAUGUUUUUAGGGUUAGUCUUUCAAGUGCAGUUAGUUCAUCAAGCCAAGGGUCUGGUCACGAUGAUGGUGAUGCCUUGGGUGAUGUUUUUAUUUGGGGUGAAGGCACUGGGGAUGGGGUUUUGGGUGGUGGAUUUAAUAAAGUCAGUAGUUGUGGUAUCAAAAUGGAUUCUUUACUGCCUAAAGCUUUGGAAUCUGCUGUUGUACUUGAUGUCCAGAAUAUAGCCUGUGGCGGUCGACAUGCUGCCUUGGUAACCAAGCAGGGGGAGGUUUUCUCCUGGGGAGAGGAAUCUGGAGGCCGGCUCGGGCAUGGUGUAGACUCUGACGUUUUGCAUCCAAAGCUUAUUGAUGCCCUUAGUAAUACCAACAUUGAGCUUGUAGCAUGCGGCGAGUACCAUACUUGUGCUGUAACACUUUCUGGUGAUUUGUACACAUGGGGUGAUGGCACUUAUAAUUUCGGUCUUCUUGGUCACGGAAAUGAAGUAAGUCAUUGGGUUCCAAAACGAGUGAAUGAGCCCUUGGAGGGCAUACACGUCUCGUCAAUAUCUUGUGGUCCCUGGCAUACAGCUGUAGUUACCUCUGCGGGUCAAUUGUUUACCUUUGGUGAUGGCACAUUCGGUGUUUUGGGUCAUGGAGAUCGGAAUAGUGUCUCAUUGCCAAGGGAAGUCGAAUCCCUAAAGGGGCUCCGCACUGUUCGAGCAGCUUGUGGAGUGUGGCAUAGUGCUGCAGUUGUUGAAGUCAUGGUUGGGAAUUCAAGUUCUAGCAACUGUUCCUCAGGGAAACUAUUUACGUGGGGAGAUGGGGAUAAAGGUCGACUUGGGCAUGGGGAUAAGGAAACAAAACUUGUUCCUACUUGUGUUGCUGCUCUUGUUGAGCCAAACUUUUGCCAAGUUGCCUGCGGACACAGUAUGACAGUUACCCUUACAACAUUGGGGCAUGUCUACACCAUGGGAAGUCCCGUUUACGGCCAGCUAGGAAAUCCACAAGCCGAUGGGAAGGUUCCUACCCGUGUUGAAGGAAAGCUUUCCAAGAGUUUUGUUGAGGAGAUUUCUUGUGGUGCUUAUCAUGUUGCAGUUUUGACUUCCAGAACUGAAGUCUAUACCUGGGGAAAGGGAGCAAAUGGUCGAUUAGGUCAUGGGAAUACUGAAGAUAAGAAUACCCCAACAUUGGUAGAAGCUCUGAAAGACAAGCAAGUCAAAAGUAUUGCAUGUGGCACAAACUUCACUGCAGCAAUCUGUCUCCACAAAUGGGUUUCGGGUGUAGAUCAGUCAAUGUGUUCUGGUUGUCGCCUCCCAUUUAAUUUCAAAAGAAAACGUCACAAUUGUUAUAAUUGUGGACUAGUCUUUUGUCACGCGUGCAGCAGUAAGAAGUGCCUUAAGGCUUCCAUGGCUCCAAAUCCCAACAAGCCUUAUCGUGUCUGUGACAAUUGUUUUAAUCGGCUGAAGAAAGACAUUGAAACUGAUGCAUCAUCUCAAUCUUCUAUAAGUAGAAGAGGAAGCAUAAAUCGCGGGACUGGUGAAUUUGUUGAUAAAGAUGACAAGUUGGAUUCCAGAUCUCAUGCUCAACUUGCUAGAUUUUCACCAAUGGGGUCGUUGAAGCAAGGGGAAAGCCGAUCAAAGGAAAACAAGAAGCUAGAAUUUAAUAGUAGUCGUGUCUCACCAGUCCCAAAUGGAGGCUUCCAUAGGGGAACCCUUAAUAUUUCUAAAUCUUUUAAUCCUGUAUUUGGAUCAUCUAAGAAAUGUUUCUCAGCUUCUGUUCCUGGAUCAAGAGUCGUUUCUCGUGCAACGUCACCGAUAUCAAAACAGCCUAGCCCUGCUCGUUCAACAACACCGAUCCCAACAGUCGGAGGCCUCACCUCCCCUAAAAUAGUUUUGGAUGAUGUUAAGAAGACCAAUGAUGGCCUUAGUCAAGAGGUUAUCAGAUUUAGAACACAGGUGGAGAAUCUUACACGUAAAGCACAGCUUCAAGAAGUUGAUCUGGAAAGAACAACGAAACAGCUGAAGGAGGCAAUUGCAAUAGCAGAGGAGGAGACUGCAAAAUGCAAAGCAGCAAAGGAAGUCAUCAAGUCACUUACUGCACAAUUAAAGGAUAUGGCUGAAAGACUGCCUGUUGGGGCUGCUAGAAAUAUCAAAUCGCCUUCACUUACUUCGUAUGGCUCUAGCCCUCCUUCCAAUGACGUCUCUAGUGUUUCCUUUCAAAGACUGAAUGGUCAGAUAUCGUGCGGAGAACUGGAUUCAAACAUACGAAGCAGCCAGUUGCUUUCUAAUGGGUCCAGCACUGCUGGUAACCAUAGUUCAUGCCAUAACAAACAAGGCCAGAUUGAACCAGCUACCAAAAGUGGAAGCAGAACAAAAGAAAGCGAACCUCGAAACGAGACUGAAUGGGUUGAGCAAGACGAACCCGGUGUGUAUAUAACACUUACCUCACUACCAGGUGGUGCCAAGGAUCUCAAGCGAGUUCGAUUCAGUCGAAAGCGAUUCAGCGAGAAACAAGCAGAACAAUGGUGGGCAGAGAACAGAGCAAGAGUAUACGAACAAUACAAUGUCCGCAAGAUCGACAAGUCUAGUGUUGGUAUCGGGAGCGUGGACUUGGCCCAUUAACACAAUGAAGUAACUAUUUGAUGUACAUGCAAUAUAGUCUUUCCGAGAUUCCGAUCCCUACAUCGGGAGCUUGAUUGAUCAAAUCGUACCAUUGUUGAUUUAUUUUUGCAUUUUUUGGCCCCCACUUGAUUUUACUUCACUCUUGCUACAUUUUUUUAAUGUGUGGGAGGGGGUUGAGGGUGAAAAAAUGUAUAUUUUUAUCAGGUUGCUGGCUCUUGUUGAAAGAAGUUGCCUUGUAAAUUCAUAAGCAAAGUUAUAUUUGCAGGAAAAGAAUUUUACAUUUUUU